UACAGAGGUCCCGAGCGUUGUUCGGAUUCAUUGGGCGUAAAGGGUGCGUAGGCGGCUUCCUAAGUUUGAUGUGAAAUCCUGGGGCUCAACCCUGGAACUGCAUUGAAUACUGGGAGGCUAGAGUACUGGAGAGGAAACUGGAAUUUACGGUGUAGCAGUGAAAUGCGUAGAGAUCGUAAGGAAGACCAGUGGCGAAGGCGAGUUUCUGGACAGUUACUGACGCUGAGGCACGAAAGCGUGGGUAGCAAACAGG
rnacentral:rRNA from 1 species